AAGAGAUUUCAGGACCACAAUGCACACGUAUCUUUCUUUGGGAAAAGCAAUUACCGUUGUGGGCUUUUACUGAUACUGCUAUGGGUGUUGGUUGCAUUCUGAGAGUGUCUUGGGUCUGCUUGUUGCUCUGUGGUGGCAGUCUUGCUGCAUCAAUGAAGGGGUACAACAAUCCCUACACCGAUGCCAGCCGUGGACUUGGGGGUUUUCAAGAGGAGCAGCUGGUGUUUUCUCCAUCAGAAGUAUUGAGUUCCUAUGGCCAAGCAACAGGCUACGCAGACAGAAGCUACAGAGCCCCGGUAGCACUACAGAUAAACUGGGACUUGUUCAUGCCUCAUGAGCCAAUCACGUUCCCUUUAAACCCCACCUACAAGACUGUGAGAAGGUCAAAUGAUCCGCAUGGCGGAGUAUUCGUUGAGCCCUCUACCCAAUCUUCAAAGCCAGGGAGCUUUGGUUUUCCCAGUUCUGUACCCUCCUUCGACCCUGUCCCCCAUCAUCAGUUCACUGACUCUGCGGUCAUGCCCAUCAAUUUGAUGCUGACCCAGUAUCUAGCAUAGGUGGAUACGGCCUGCCUCAGCACCUCAGCCUCCAGUUUGACAGAGCAGGUGACGCCCAAGGCGAUUCCCCUAACUUUGAGGCCAAGUACCCUUCUUCUGAAAAUGCACAGCUACCUUCCAAAGAGGUUGGCCCCUCCAACUACAACUCGGACAGUGCUGUCCAGCCAAGCAGUGGGCCGUCUCGACCCUUCGAGAGCAAAGAGGCGCCGGUAUUCUCCAGUGAUUCAGCUCACCGGGUCCAGGCUGCGCCGAUUGAAACCCCUGCCUUUCCCAGCCAUGGGACCCAUUUUGUCUUGGAGUCCACGCCAAGUAAAGGGGCUGCACAACCAGGCCGCUUCCGUACGGUUACGCCACAGCUACCCAGCACCCAUCAGCUUGCGAUGCCAAAGGAGGUGAGCAUGCCGUUCCCAUACACCUACGUUGUUCAAUCCAGUGGUCGCUACGGACGAGGAAGGAAUGUGAACCGCAAGACCAGAUACCACAAGAAGGGCCCUCCACCUGCCUCGUUUGGCCUAAAGAGACAAAGAAGAUGGAAACUCUGAUCCAACGAUCAUCGAUUAUCAUUGCCUGUUGAUGCACUAAAGCUAAUAUUAUAUUCAGCAUGAGUAUUUAUAUGAUUUAGUUUCAUUAAAGUGACUUCAAGUUUUA